AAUUUGUGGUGCAAACAUUUUUGAAUCAACAUUUUGAAAUGUUCCCAUACCUCAUAGAAAAUUUCUCCUUUCAUUUGUCUAAGACAUCAAUCUCUCGUCUAAGCU
rnacentral:snoRNA from 1 species